ACACCAACCCCACGCCCACUUCCUGCUCCAAGUUCAUAAACACAAUUUUAUCCUUUUCUGCAUUCGAGCGUAUCAGAAUUCAGAAACACCAACCUUCAUUCUCCUCUGCUGGCAUCACAGUUGUGCCGCCAUCACUCUGUUUGCUCGCGCCGCCACUGUCGCUCCUCAGGUAUCCCCUUCAAUUUCAUUUGGAAAUUCCUAAAUUCCCCUUGAUCCUCUCCACGCCGAUGACCCCUCUGCUCUUCAGAUUCGUGUGCCAGAAAGUUGUGAUCUUGUUGCUGUUGGAGCAUUUGCUGUGGCAUUUGGCACUUCUCAUGUAGCACUUGUGCAUAGAGCUAAUUUAACCUCUGGUCAGGUGUUAGUGGUUUUGGGUGCAACAGGAGGUGUAGGACUUGCAGCUGUUCAAAUUGGAAAAGCGUGUGGUGCCAUUGUCAUUGCUGUUGCUAGGGGAGCUGAAAAGGUGCAGAUUUUGAAGACUCUUGGUGUUGAUCAUGUCAUCCCUGCUAACAUAGCUCUUGUUAAGUGACUUUGUGUUUUGUGAUCACAAAGAGAAUGGCAUCCACUAAUGAGACUGAAAAUAUGGGUGAGAGUGAUACUGUGAAGAACCUUAAACAUGUCGAGAGGAAACUUCUCAGAUGCAAUGUUCCUAUUGAUGAGCUUCCUGAAGUGCUUGAUAAUCUGGACCUGAUACUAUCAACAGUCAAUCAAUUACCAAGUGAGCCAAUUCAGGAAGCACUUGUACCUUCCAUGAAAGCAUUGAUUUCUGAUGAACUUCUAAGGCACACAGAUGAGGAUAUUAAGAUUUCGGUUACAUCUUGCAUUGCUGAGAUUACAAGAAUUACAGCCCCGGAUACCCCUUACGACGAUGAACAGAUGAAGGCCCAUUUAUAUGUUGCUUCGGCGCAUUCUAGUAUUGCUUCAGCAUCUCAAAUUGUUACAACUCCAACACUCUAGCCCAUUACGUGCUAAUGAACAACAAAUCAAUCCCCAUGAGCCAAGAGAAGAAAGCACCGAACAAAAGAAAGAAAGAGAAGGACAUCUGUUAACAAUAUGGGACAACUGUAACACCAUGACAAGAACAAGGACAGUUGGGGUCACUCUCAUUACAAGGACAUCAGUAAAGCACAACUCUGAACAUGGGAGAGCAAAACACAAACUUGCAAGAGAGCAGAAGUAGUGGUGCAGUUCCUCGGACAGCAAAGGUAAUGGAGCAGAGGGAGAAAGAAAUACAUGCUAAAGAAUAAAGCAACUCCAAGGACAACAGAGGUGGUGAAAUGGUUCCUCGACAAGCAAUGAUAGUGGAGCAGAAUGAAGCAAGAUGAAAAAUGACUGCAUGCCAGCAGAGACAGUUCCAACGGGUAGCUGGUAGAAUGGAAUUAAAAGAGGCAAUGAAGAGCAAAUGAGAAGAGCAAGCUGAUAUUAUAAGAGAGGCCUCACUUCAACAUUUGAAGGAAGAAAAAGAGAGCACAUUCAAGAACAUCAUCUCAACACUUGAGCUAAAUUCUUUUUCUUCUACUAGAGCUUAAUUUCUGAUUUUCUUUGUUAUGGCUAUCUUGUGUCAUCUUUUGUAUUGAGAAAAGGUUGAAUAUGUGAGUUGAAAAAGGCAAGAGUGAUGCAUGAAAGAGCCACGAAAAUUCUGAGUAAUUGAUUUAUUGAACUAGGAUUAGUUCUCCUUGCCAAGUUGGGAGAGCACUUGGUGGUGAAUUUAAAUCUGUUAAGGUUCCCUUUCCAAGUUGGGACAGUACUUGGGAAGCUGAGCUUUGGUGAAAAAAGCUUAGUGGUAGAUACUAGUUGAAUUAGGUUGUAAUGCAAUAGUUUUGGUGAAUAUAAUCAGUUGAUUAUAGUGAAAAUUCCACCAUGAUUGUGGUGGAGAUUGGACGUAGGAUUCAUGACACUUAGAAUCCGAAUAAGGAAACAUUCGAUGCCGUGAUUCGUGUGUUAAGUGUUUCAGGCUUUAUAGGGCAGGAAUGGCUUAGAGAAUGGAGAGGA